GACGAACGCUGGCGGCGUGCUUAACACAUGCAAGUCGAACGGAAAGGCCCCUUUGUGGGUACUCGAGUGGCGAACGGGCGAGUAACACGUGAGUAACCUGCCCUUGACUUCCUGAUAACUUCAGUAAGCUGAGGCUAAUACCGGCUAGAAAUCCUUUCCGCAUGGAGGGUGGUGGAAGGCAUCGGGGGGUUGGUGGGGAUGCGCGGGCUGUCAACUUGUUUGUUGGGGAGGGGGUUACCAAGGCUUUGACGGGUGGCCGGCCUGGGAGGGGGGCCGGCCCCAUUGGGGAUGGGGUACGGCCCAGACCCCUACGGGAGGGAGCAGUGGGGAAUAUUUGACCAUGGGGGGGAGCCUGAAGCAGCAACGCCGCGGGCGGGAUGAAGGGCUUCGGGUUGUAAACCGCUUUCAGCAGGGGCGAAGCUUGUGGUGACGGUAACUGCAGAAGAAGCACCGGCUAACUACGUG
rnacentral:rRNA from 1 species